UCUCAAGAUUAAGUAAUAUGUAUAGUGUUUUGAUGUGUUUCUGUUAAUAUUUUUGAAACUAUGAGGUUUGUGGAGAAACGAGAGAGAGGAGGAGGUGGAAGUGGAGGUGGAGAAGGAGAAGGAGGAGGAGGUGAAGGUGGAGGUGGAAGUGGAGGUGGAGAAGGAGAAGGAGGAGGAGGUGAAGGUGGAGGAGGAGGUAACUUUAUUCUCUCACAGUCCUCAUAUAAGGCAACCACGAGGUCUGUUUUUUUUUUCUUUUUAAAGGAGGAGGAGCAGGAACAAAGAAACACAAAGUGAGAACAAACAACAGCAGGCCUGCUGGUCAUUACGAGGCUGUUUGUGAUAAGCUACACUAACUAUCUAAUCAAAGGUGGAAGAUGAAGGACAGCAAAGGCAAAGGCCGUGGUGAGCAAAUCAGGGAAGUAAAGUAACGGAACAGGCCGAGGCAGCAACACUAUAAUAUAGUCGCCAAGUCAGUCAGUUCGGGGCCUCGCCAUUCGCGCCAAUCCCGGGCAGAAUCUUGGCGGUUCAGUCUCCUUCCUUCGCCCUGUCAACUUCCCACUUUCGUCACAUCACUUUCCUUCCUUUCCUCGUUCCUUCCUUCCUUCCUUCCCUCGUUGUUGCUUUCCUUCCUUCCUUCCCUCGUUGUUGCUUUCCUUCCUUCCUUCCCUCGUUGUUGCUUUCCUUCCUUCCUUCCCUCGUUUCUUCCUUCGUCCUGUCAUUUUCUCCAUCCUCCCUUCCUCCUGUCAUCUUCCCCCCUUUAUUCCUCCCUUCCUCUGUCACCUUCCUUUGGCCUUCGUCCUGCCAUCCUUGAUCCAACAAAAACGGUCUCCGGCGCUUCACUGUAUUUUCGAUUGAUUUGAAUUAAUCCCGUCAGGAAUUUUAAGAGGCUCAUCUUGCUAUCCACCCUCCUCGCCUCGCGGGGCUGGGGAGCGUCAGGCGGCCCAAGGCCUUCCUGGCGAGCGUCGCAGGGCUCAGGGCUCCGGCAGGGCGCCUCAGCUCCCCGGAGCGUCCACGGAGGUGUCGGAGAUCCCGAGAGUCCGGGGGUUGGGGGGGCGUGAAGUGGCAGCAAGACAUGCAGUUACUGACCUCUUAUUAGCCAGACGACGCGUUAAUGACACGUUCCAAUGGAAGGUUCGACGCAUGGGGAGGUACAAUUCCCCUAAGCAAGGCAAGUGUCAUGCCAACUACGAUAAAAAACGAAAAAUACACAAAAAAAAUACAAAAACAAAAAAUCCAAAAAAAAUUGUCUUGUUUUGCUUUGUUUAAAGCGUCUUGUAUGUUGGUAUGGCGGGUCUUCUCUGGGGAGAAGGAGACUAACGCGUUCCAACAUACAAAACCAGGAAAAGACGACAUGGAAACACCGAGAGAAGGAAGGGAAAGAAGGGAACACCAGAAGAAGGAAAAUGAAGAGAAGUAACACUAGAAGAAGGCAUAUGAAGUAACACAAGAAGAAGGAAGUUGAAAAGAGUAACACAAGAAGAGGGAAUUUGAAAAGAGUAACACAGAAGAAGGUAUUGAAAAGAGUAACACAGAAGAAGGUAUUGAAAAGAGUUACACAGAAGAAGGUAUUGAAAAGAGUAACACAGAAGAAGGUAUUGAAAAGAGUAACACAGAAGAAGGAAUUGAAAAGAGUAACACAGAAGAAGGUAUUGAAAAGAGUAACACAGAAGAAGGUAUUGAAAAGAGUAACACAGAAGAAGGAAUUGAAAAGAGUAACACAGAAGAAGGUAUUGAAAAGAGUUACACAGAAGAAGGUAUUGAAAAGAGUAACACAGAAGAAGGUAUUGAAAAGAGUUACACAGAAGAAGGUAUUGAAAAGAGUAACACAGAAGAAGGUAUUGAAAAGAGUAACACAGAAAAAGGUAUUGAAAAGAGUAACACAGAAGAAGGUAUUGAAAAGAGUAACACAGAAGAAGGUAUUGAAAAGAGUAACACAGAAGAAGGUAUUGAAAAGAGUAACACAGAAGAAGGUAUUGAAAAGAGUAACACAGAAGAAGGUAUUGAAAAGAGUUACACAGAAGAAGG